rnacentral:lncRNA from 1 species
GGUUCAGUCACAUGGAGGAUCAGAGGUUGACACAGCUACAUCCUGGGUCGUUAGACCAUAGCGUACUGACAAGACAAAACCAUCACAGGUCGAAGGACGUAUGGAAUGGUGAGGUGGAAAAGCCUAUUUUAUGUAGACGGUCAGAUGGUAAUUUUUGGAAUUUGGUUCAUGAUCGUCCCAUUCAUCGACGUGUCCUGCAAAUAUUAAUUGAUGCAGGAUUUUACGGGGUCUAUCGAGUAGGACGUAUACAAUUAGACCAUGCUUUUAUUACUUCUCUUGUUGAGAGAUGGCGUCCGGAGACGCAUACUUUUCACCUAAGAGUUGGGGAAGCCACUAUUACGCUACAGGAUGUAGCUAUUUUGUAUGGAUUGCCAGUAGAGGGAAGGCCAGUAUUGGGCAUUGAUAGUACAAGAAAGACCGAAGAGUGGCAGAAUAUGUGCGACGCGUUGCUUGGUUUUAGACCACAUAGUUAUUGUUUAUUUGGUAGUAGGCUUGAGAUUAGUGCACUAGCUACAUACAUGGAGCAAUUGCCUUUGCUAGAUGAUGAUGCAGAUGAGGUAGUUGUACAUCAGAGGGCUAGGUGCUAUAUGUUAUGGAUGAUCGGGGGUAUACUGUUUCCUGACACAUCAGGAAACAAGGUUAAGUUAAUGUACUUGACGCUGCUCGAUGACAUCACGCAGAUUGGUACGUAUAGUUGGGGUAGUGCUGUGUUGGCGUGCUUGUACCGUGCAUUGUGUAGAGCUACUCGGCCAAAAAACAAUGAGUUAUGUGGCUUCAUACCACUUCUACAGGCAUGUAUUUCCUUAUAUGAUUAUUUAUAUUUUCAUUUUAAUAUAAAAUUAAUUUUAUUAUUUAUUUUUGAUAUACUUAGGUAUGGGCAUGGGAGAGACUGAAGAUGGUUCAUCCAGACAGACGUCAGGCAAGAGAGGGUGCUAUUAGAUUCUCCAAUGAUCUCCCUGGUCCGCCACAUGCAUGUAAAUGGAACGUUCAGCUUAGUUGGACACAUACAACGCAAUACGUGUUGCCAUUAUUUCGGGACCAGCUAGAUAACCUUGUUGAUGAACAUGUAUAACUUAUCAGCUCUAUAUAUGUUUUAUAGCAAGUGUUAUAUUCAUUUUAUGGCUAAUAGUUUGUUAUUUUUCCCAACAGUUUGUUUGGGAGCCGUAUACUCUAGAUGUGAUGGAGAAUCUUCCCGAGUAUUGUCGAUCAGGAGAGUACUUUUGGCGUGCUGUGGUGCCGCUCCUAUGUUGGGACGUGUUGGAGAUGCAUCAGCCCAACAGGGUCCUCAGACAAUUCGGAAUGCGUCAAUUCAUACCUGUUUCCUGCAAUUUUGCGGACAAUCACGACAUGCAUGAUCGUCGUGGCCGACAAAACACAGAUUGGGCUAGAGAACAUGCGAGGCUCAUACUUGUCUGGAAUGAUCGUGCUAACCAAGUUUGUGAAGCCCGGCUAGCAGAUGGACCCAUUGCGUAUGAUGAUGAUUACCUUGUCUGGUAUCGUCGGAUUACUCGACAGAUUAUCGGAAAUCCCAGUUUCCAAUUUCCAAAAGGGUAUGCAUCCCUUGCACCAGUGGCCGAGGUUAUGGUAUGUACUUGCAUUAAGAUAAGUUAAUCGCAUUUUUUAUAUAAUGUAUCAUUUUCUGUGGAAUUCAUUCUUAUGUCAGAAAAACCAGCUAAUUAGUUCAUUUGAUAUAUUGUAUAGUGUGCACC